AGUGUGAUUGCUGGGUCAUAGGGUAAGACUAUGUUUAGCUUUGUAGGAAACUGCCAAACUGUCUUCAAUAGUGGCUAUACCAUUUUGUAUUCCCACCAGCAAU
rnacentral:pre_miRNA from 3 species